rnacentral:rRNA from 1 species
GACGAACGCUGGCGGCGUGCUUAACACAUGCAAGUCGAGCGGUAAGGCCCUUUCGGGGGUACACGAGCGGCGAACGGGUGAGUAACACGUGGGUGACCUGCCCUCAGCUCUGGGAUAAACCUGGGAAACCGGGUCUAAUACUGGAUAUGACUCCAUGACGCAUGUUGUGGGGUGGAAAGCCUUGUGCGGCUGAGGAUGGGCCCGCGGCCUGUCAGCUUGUUGGUGGGGUGAUGGCCUACCAAGGCGACGACGGGUAGCCGGCCUGAGAGGGCGACCGGCCACACUGGGACUGAGACACGGCCCAGACUCCUACGGGAGGCAGCAGUGGGGAAUCUUGCGCAAUGGGCGAAAGCCUGACGCAGCGACGCCGCGUGAGGGAUGAC